GACGAACCGUGCGAACGUUGUUCGGAAUCACUGGGCUUAAAGGGCGCGUAGGCGGGCUCGCCAGUCAGGGGUGAAAGCCCACGGCUCAACCGUGGAAGUGCCUUUGAUACUGCGAGCCUCGAGGGAGGUAGGGGCGUGCGGAACUUCCGGUGGAGCGGUGAAAUGCGUUGAUAUCGCUAGGAACUCCGGUGGCGAAGGCGAGGUGCUGGACCAUUUCUGACGCUGAGGCGCGAAAGCCAGGGGAGCGGAACGGG
rnacentral:rRNA from 1 species